AUCAGAGCAGUUCCCAUUCUCUAACAUCACACAUCAGCACCAUCCUUGCCGUCUUCAAAUAAAGGAAAAGCCAAAACGAUAUGAAGGAGGCGACAAGGGAAGACUUGAUGGGCGUGUGAUGUUUGGACUAUGGAGUGAUCUAAGAAGUUGUCAAGAAUUUAUUAAGAGUGUUUUGGUUUAAUUGUUUAAAGUAUUUAGAACUUGUACAUGUUACUUUUUGGAUUGUUUUGUCGUGUUUUGUUAGAGUUGGUUUCCUUUGGUA